UACGUAGGGAGCAAGCGUUGUCCGGAAUCAUUGGGCGUAAAGAGCGCGUAGGCGGCCCUGUAAGUCCGUUCUGAAAGUCAAAGGCUCAACCUUUGAAAAGCGGAUGGAUACUGCAUGGCUUGAGACCGGAAGAGGUAAGUGGAACUGCGAGUGUAGAGGUGAAAUUCGUAGAUAUUCGCAAGAACACCAGUGGCGAAGGCGGCUUACUGGUCCGGUUCUGACGCUGAGGCGCGAAAGCGUGGGGAGCAAACAGGG
rnacentral:rRNA from 1 species